rnacentral:rRNA from 1 species
UAGGGAAUCUUCCGCNNAUGGGCGAAAGCCUGACGGAGCAACGCCGCGUGAGUGAAGAAGGAUUUCGGUUCGUAAAGCUCUGUUGUUAGGGAAGAAUGAUUGUAUAGUAACUAUAUACAGUAGAGACGGUACCUAACCAGAAAGCCACGGCUAACUACGUGCCAGCAGCCGCGGUAAUACGUAGGUGGCAAGCGUUGUCCGGAAUUAUUGGGCGUAAAGCGCGCGCAGGUGGUUUAAUAAGUCUGAUGUGAAAGCCCACGGCUCAACCGUGGAGGGUCAUUGGAAACUGUUAAACUUGAGUGCAGGAGAGAAAAGUGGAAUUCCUAGUGUAGCGGUGAAAUGCGUAGAGAUUAGGAGGAACACCAGUGGCGAAGGCGGCUUUUUGGCCUGUAACUGACACUGAGGCGCGAAAGCGUGGGGAGCAAACAGGAUUAGAUACCCUGGUAGUCCACGCCGUAAACGAUGAGUGCUAAGUGUUGGUCUCAUAAGAGAUCAGUGCUGCAGCUAACGCAUUAAGCACUCCGCCUGGGGAGUACGACCGCAAGGUUG